GUAACUGUGGUUAUGAAAUGGUACAAUGGUUGAAUUCGGUUGAAUUAAAGUUGACACUGAAGUAUUUAAAUGCCUAUGUCAUAUAUGUGAGUAAGGGUAAAACCAUCGUAAAUUAUCGAUAAGGGUGGGCUAUGUGCGGAACCAUCUUAUAAUUGCUAAUUUGAACAGCUGUGUGCGAAUCAAUGAGCAUGAUGUAUUGUAUUGAGAUUAUGCUUAAGUGAAAUUAUAGAUAUGUGAUGAAAUUGAUUGGUGAUAUACAUGUUUAAAUAAUGUGAAUGCAAAGAAUGUGUGAAAGAGUAAAUUUGUAAUAAAUCUGCUUGGG
rnacentral:lncRNA from 1 species